UACGUAGGGUGCGAGCGUUGUCCGGAAUUACUGGGCGUAAAGAGCUCGUAGGCGGCUUGUCGCGUUGUUCGUGAAAAUUUACCGCUCAACGGUGAACUUGCGGGCGAUACGGGCAGGCUAGAGUACUGCAGGGGAGACUGGAAUUCCUGGUGUAGCGGUGAAAUGCGCAGAUAUCAGGAAGAACACCCGUGGCUAAGGCGGCUCUCUAGUACGGUACUGACGCUGAGACGCGAAAGCGUGGGGAGCGAACAGG
rnacentral:rRNA from 1 species